UGUCUAUUGUACAACCUCUGCUACUAGAGAUACUAAGCUUUCCUGUAAGUGGAAACCUUGAACACUGUUUCCAGGCUCAGUGUUUAUGUUUUCUGCUCCAGGUUUCUAAAAAAAAUGGUGAAGGCUGUGAUCGGGUCAGGUGGACAGAGAUUGGGAACAAAACAUUUCAAGCUCACACAUUUCGAAGAGAAAUUAAGCUCGGGAUAGAGGCAUAGAGCGAAGAAGAAUUCCUGGAUCUACAAGUCCUACAACUUUGAAGGUUGGACGAUCCAGAAGUCGUUGAUUCACGACAGUGUUGUCUACAUGUUCUUACUCUGACGAAGAGUGAAAAACAAUAAAGGAGAGUGCCAUGUCUGAAAAUUGGAGAUGGAAUAAAACCUCAUUUGGUUGCUUUUGGUUUUAUUCGUUGUCCCUUUUUACUGAAAAAUCUAUUGUACAAUUUGCGAUUUCACAUUCGUUUUAUGCCAACUGAGUGUGUAUGAAGAUUUCCUGAUAAUAUUUCCCAUUUGUUAUCCAUUGGGGUAUUAGUAUUGUAAACUCUUGCAAGCCU